CCUACGGGAGGCAGCAGUGGGGAAUUUUCCGCAAUGGGCGAAAGCCUGACGGAGCAACGCCGCGUGAGGGAUGAAGGCCUCUGGGCUGUAAACCUCUUUUAUCAAGGAAGAAGAUCUGACGGUACUUGAUGAAUAAGCCACGGCUAAUUCCGUGCCAGCAGCCGCGGUAAUACGGGAGUGGCAAGCGUUAUCCGGAAUUAUUGGGCGUAAAGCGUCCGCAGGCGGUCUUGUAAGUCUGUCGUUAAAGCGUGGAGCUCAACUCCAUUUCGGCGGUGGAAACUACAAGACUAGAGUGUGGUAGGGGCAGAGGGAAUUCCCGGUGUAGCGGUGAAAUGCGUAGAUAUCGGGAAGAACACCAGUGGCGAAGGCGCUCUGCUGGGCCAUAACUGACGCUCAUGGACGAAAGCUAGGGGAGCGAAAGGGAUUAGAUACCCCUGUAGUCCUAGCCGUAAACGAUGAACACUAGGUGUCGGGGAAUCGACCCCCUCGGUGUCGUAGCUAACGCGUUAAGUGUUCCGCCUGGGGAGUACGCACGCAAGUGUGAAACUCAAAUGAAUUGACGG
rnacentral:rRNA from 1 species